rnacentral:lncRNA from 1 species
CCUGACCUUCCCCAUUCGCUCAAACCAUAACACACGUGAAUAUACUAACAAAAUCCCUAAAUCAACGCGUACUGUUCUUCUUCUCCGAAGAACACACGAACCAAGCCCCAAAUUCCGUCCUAAUCCGGGCAAGUGAAUCCCAAAUCCUAACCCAUGCAUCCCUCCUUCUCUCAUCUCACCAUUUCUAACAGUUUCUGACAUUGAAGAUGCUCCUCCCCUUCACUCGCUCAAAUCAGAAAUGAGGCACACGAUUGGAAGGUCCUAGAGACGAUUCGUUGGAUGAGGGUGAGUUGUUGGAUUGAUUUUGUUCAAUCCAAGCCCCAUUUUUACCAAGGGUUCGUCUCUAUAAAGGAAAAUAUCUGAUUUAAGAGAGGAGGUUUUUUUUUCCGGAGGAUUUCUCGGCAGAUUUUGAGAGUAAGUUAAAAUUCUAGAGAUUAGUCUUUUUCAUCUUUAUUGUUGAUUUUCAUUCGUAUUAACUUCAAAAAAUAUAUUCAAAAAAUGUUCGAUAUUCUGUGAUUCCACUGUUGUUUGUUUUACUGUCUACCAGCUUCGAAAUACAUGAAUUCCGUCUUCAAAGUUACUGGAAUUCGUUGUUGAUCGAGGCAUCGAUUUGUGGCUGAUGUUGCUUUGUGUCGAUUUCAGUGUU